UACGAAGGGGGGCUAGCGUUGCUCGGAAUCACUGGGCGUAAAGGGUGCGUAGGCGGGUCUCUAAGUCAGGGGUGAAAUCCUGGAGCUCAACUCCAGAACUGCCUUUGAUACUGAGGAUCUUGAGUUCGGGAGAGGUGAGUGGAACUGCGAGUGUAGAGGUGAAAUUCGUAGAUAUUCGCAAGAACACCAGUGGCGAAGGCGGCUCACUGGCCCGAUACUGACGCUGAGGCACGAAAGCGUGGGGAGCAAACAGG
rnacentral:rRNA from 1 species